rnacentral:rRNA from 1 species
CACGUAGUUAGCCGGGGCUUCUUAUUUAGGUACCGUCAUUUCUUUCUUCCCUAUUGAUAGAAGUUUGCAAUCCGAAAACCGUCUUCCUUCACGCGGCGUUGCUGCAUCAGGCUUUCGCCCAUUGUGCAAUAUUCCCCACUGCUGCCUCCCGUAGGAGUUUGGGCCGUGUCUCAGUCCCAAUGUGGCCGGUCACCCUCUCAGGUCGGCUACUGAUCGUUGCCUUGGUGGGCUAUUAUCUCACCAACUAGCUAAUCAGAUGCGGGCCCAUCUUUUACCGAAUUACUCCUUUCUUUCUUAGAAGAUGCCUUCCAAGAACCGUAUGCGGUAUUAGUCGUCGUUUCCAACGAUUAUUCCACUAGUAAAAGGUAAGUUGCCCACACGUUACUCACCCGUCCGCCGCUAAAAUAAUCAAAAGCAAAGCUCUCAAUUAUUUCGCUCGACUUGCAUGUGUUAAGCACGCCGCCAGCGUUCAUCCUGACGCCAGGAUACCAAACUCCU